GUCAGCCCUUCACCCUUCAACAAUCAUCUGACACUGAAUCGAGUGAAGUCUGGGAGUCAGUCAGCAAAAAGCCAUAUACUGAGGGACAUGAUGACAGCACCUCUGAAAAAAAUCUUAAAAACCACUACAUAAUGUGUUUAUGCUUCAGUUACUAUGUGUCAGCAAUUAUUGACAGUGAAUCUGGAUAAGAAAUUGAAUAGGUCUAAGUGUGAGCUUUCAUUAGAGCCCAAAAU